UCAAUUAUACAUAUAAAAAUUAAGAGAGUGGUGGAUGUGACAAGCAAGAGCUGCCUCUGAAGGACGUGCUAAAAGAGAUACAAUAACAUCACAGCAUAAACAUGACUGAGGGCCGUGCACAACACGGUAGAUGUGCAAUUUCAAAUAUGUGGAUAAUUUUAAAUAUCCUAUUAUCUCUCUACCAUGUCACAACAGAUUGAAAGGUUUCAGUCCAAAUAAAGUUUCAGCGCGUGAAAAAUGCGUGUACUCAAUCAUACAGUGGCGUGACAGAGAAGAAAGCUUACGCAGGAGAGUCUGUACUGCUGCCCUGCACCUGUACUGACCCACAAGACAUGCCCAAGAGCAUCUCUUGGGAAACCAACAGCAGAAGGGCUUCCAAAGAUCACCUUUACACAGAUAUAUUUAGUGUGUUUGAGCUGUACAGCAACAGAAUUACACUGUUUAAUGAGACUUCACCUGGAAACCUCUCCUUGCUUCUGUCAGGCCUGACUAAGGAAGAUCAGGGAUGGUACAUCUGUUGGUUAGAUAAAACAUCCAGAUUCAUCAAUGUUUCUGUUGAAGAGGGAACUCAAAUAUUCUCUAAGGCACAUCUCAGUAUUUUCAUCUCUUUGCUGCUUAUAGCUAUAACACUGGUAGGAGCAGCUGUAAUUUUCUGGAUACACAGAGGUCACAGAAAUGCUAAGAUAGAGACUGGGGAGAAAAAUGUGGGAAAUAAUUUGGGUGAUAAUGAUUCAACAUACUGUACACUGCAAAGAAAAUAUGAUGCUGAGGAAAUGUAUGGAACAAUUGGUAAAACAACAAAGGACCAAUAAAUCAUCAGAUUUGCCACUAGAUGGUGUUGUGGGAUGCUGUGUGGUUGUUUGCUAUGUUCCACUGUCCUCAUUCUGACUGAGCUGCAUUUCCUGUUUUCAUCAUUUUGUCAGAAUCUUCCAUUAUUGAAACAUAGCACUGAAAUUUUAUUUUUUUUUUAUUUCAGUUUAAAUUCUAAGAUUUCUUCAUGGAUUAUCCCUGCUCUCAGAAAAAGAUGUCAAAUAAAAGCAUA